AGUGGUGGCGAGGGACGGAUGGGUGAGUAAAGCAUCGCAUGCCCUGGGGAGUGGGAACUUCUCGAAAGAAGUUAUAAUACUACCGCAUAUUCUGUGUUCAGGAGGCAGGGGAUCGCUCCGACCUUGCGCUCUGGGACUGGCCGAUGACGGAUUAGCUAGUUGGUGGUGUAAAGGCCUACCAAGGCGACGAUCCGUGGCGGGACAGAAAGGAUGAUCCGCUGGCUGGGACUGAGACACGGACUCCACUCCUACGGGAGGCAGAGGAAUAUAAUUUUGUGCAAUGAAAGGCUGAACUGAUCCCGCCAUGCGGGGUGAGAAAACAUUCCUUCGGGUUGCUCUUUUCUGUCGGAAGAGACGAAAUUGGUAUCCCAGGAAUCCUGUUCGGAUAACUACACCCCAAUAACAACCACCGGCUAACUACGUGCCGCCUUCUCCGGAUAUACUGAGGGUGCGAGCGUUACUCGCAAUUACUGAGCUUAGAGCUUGCACCUCCUGUUUGAACUGUCAGAUGUCAUUUCACACUGCUCGACUUGAGAACUGCAUAUGAGACUGCAAUUCUGGAUGUUGUGGUAGAAUGCGGAAAUUUCGCGAGUAGCACUGAAAUGCAAAGAGAUUCUCUGGAACACAGAUGACGCUCACGUCCCACUGCGUGAAUACUGACGCUCAUGA
rnacentral:rRNA from 1 species